CUUGCAUACAUGAUCCGUUGGUCAAUCCUUUCUAAAAAACUAGAACCUUGCAAUAUUUUUCAUCACCGUCAUUCAUUUUCCAUUCUCACAAGUGUUGGCAAGUUUCUCUUGCUUUCCUGGUUCAUGCCCAUGGGCUGUGUCCGUUGCUGUCUCGUCAUGAAAUGCUGCUCAUCCUCAUGGAUGAUGUUAUAUGGUUUUUGUUGACUCUGACAGUUGCAUGCGGAAUGCGUCUUGAAUGGUUUCUCGUCUAUUUUUUGUUCUCAUCCUUCCUCCUUAGGAUGUGCCUGUAAUGACAUUGGUUUGCUUAAUCCACACAACUAUCCUUAUUGGAGGGGUGAACAGUUCCUUAAAAACUAAUAUUUUAUUUUACUUUUUGGUUGAUUCACACUGCUGUUGUUUUCUGCUUGUGGUUGACCCAUUCAAGCUGCACUUUUCUUAUACAUAUGAUUGGUUCGAACAAAAUCAAUUUUGACCUGCUCUUAGAUGUUGUACCCGUGCUUUCUUCUAUUUCAUUACAUAUUUUCUUUUCCAAGAUUUUCGCAUGAUAUGGAUCAAAAACAUUUUUUUUUGUUCUUUCUUCUAUCUCUAAGUUCUUCCAUUGAGGACCUAGUUCAUCUUGCUGAUCAUGGUAGUCUUGCCUAUGUCAGUCAAUUCCUUUCAAUAACAUAUUGCAAUUUCUAGGUAACCUCAUUGUAGUUUUCAUUGCUUCGUACCUCACAGGGCACCUAAACUUCUAUUGGGAGCAAAGCAAUAUUCAACAGCUAUUGACAUGUGGUCGCUAGGUUGUAUAAUGGCAGAACUUUUAGCGAAGGAACCGUUAUUCAAUGGGAAAACUGAAUUUGAUCAGAUUGACAAGAUAUUCCGAACUCUGGGCACACCAAGCGCAAAGAUAUGGCCGGAGUUUGUUGAAUUGCCUGGGGUCAAGGUCAACUUUGUAAAGCAGCUGUAAGCUUCCAGCUAUGGGUGAUGCUGGUCAGGCUUUCUGGUUUGCCUUGUUGGCAAUUUUCAUUUGCGCGGAUGUAGCUUAUGUUUGGAGUAACCACUGACCUGUUUUUUUCAGGUAUAACAAGCUGCGUGAUAAGUUCCCACCCACAUCUUUCUUUGGACGCCCAAGCCUUUCUGAGGCUGGAUUUGACUUAUUGAACAAACUGCUUACAUAUGACCCUAAAAAGUCCUAAAACAAAUAACACAAUAGUUUGGAGGAAAAAUGUUUUGACUCGUUGUUCAGCACUCUGGUUUCUUUUUUGUGUUGUGAUGAGUUAUUUGUUGUUUGUUAUUUUGUAAUGCAACAGAUAACAGCAGAAGCAGCAGAAGAUGGACGGGCAGUGUUAUCUCAGGGUCCGCCAAGUACGACGGCACCGGUGAUGACGGGCGUGACCAUGACUUUGUAUUAUUUGUGGAACCUAAUGUUGUGUAACAGUUUGAUUGAGUUAAACUUUAAAUAGACUGUUUUUAA